AUACAAGAGGAAAAAUUUGAACUGAUUGCAACCUCUUCAUAAUGAAAUCAAUUCAUUGUGAAUACUGAACAUUUUUCAGUAGAAAAAAUGCUAAAGCAGAAACG
rfam:Flavobacterium fryxellicola strain DSM 16209 FBFR48, whole genome shotgun sequence.